rnacentral:rRNA from 1 species
UAUUCUGGUGUCCUAGGCGUAGAGGAACCACACCAAUCCAUCCCGAAUUUGGUGGUUAAACUCUACUGCGGUGACGAUACUGUAGGGGAGGUCCUGCGGCAAAAUAGCUCGAUGCCAGCAU